UUUCACAUUAUAAAGUCCUGCAGACAAAAA
rnacentral:piRNA from 1 species